CAGGAAUGGAGGAGAGGGGAGACCUGGGUACAGAGGUCAGGGGUUAGACAGGAAUGGAGGAGAGGUGACCUGGGUACAGAGGUCAGGGGGAGGACAGGAAUGGAGGAGAGGGGAGACCUGGGUACAGAGGUCAGGGGUUAGACAGGAAUGGAGGAGAGGUGACCUGGGUACAGAGGUCAGGGGUUAGACAGGAAUGUAGGAGAGGAGACCUGGGUACAGAGGUCAGGGGGAAGACAGGAAUGGAGGAGAGGGGAGACCUGGUUACAGAGGUCAGGGGUUAGACAGGAAUGUAGGAGAGGAGACCUGGGUACAGAGGUCAGGGGUUAGACAGGAAUGGAGGAGAGGGGAGAUGGGUACAGAGGUCAGGGUUGGGAUCCUAGAGGCCUUUUGGGGAGGAGUCAGACAGACAGACAGACAGACAGACUCCUCUCUCCCCUCAGGUUGAGUUGGGUUGGGAUCCUAGAGGCCUUUUGGAGAGGAGUCAGACAGACAGACAGACAGACAGACAGACAGACAGACUCCUCUCUCCCCUCAGGUUGAGUUGGGUUGGGAUCCUAGAGGCCUUUUGAAGAGGAGUCAGACAGACAGACAGACAGACAGACAGACAGACAGACAGACAGACAGACAGACUCCUCUCUCCCCUCAGGUUGAGUUGGGUUGGGAUCCUAGAGGCCUUUUGGAGAGGAGUCAGACAGACAGACAGACAGACUCCUCUCUCCCCUCAGGUUGAGUUGGGUUGGGAUCCUAGAGGCCUUUUGGAGAGGAGUCAGACAGACAGACAGACUCCUCUCUCCCCUCAGGUUGAGUUGGGUUGGGAUCCUAGAGGCCUUUUGGAGAGGAGUCAGACAGACAGACAGACUCCUCUCUCCCCUCAGGUUGAGUUGGGUUGGGAUCCUAGAGGCCUUUUGGAGAGGAGUCAGACAGACAGACAGACAGACUCCUCUCUCCCCUCAGGUUGAGUUGGGUUGGGAUCCUAGAGGCCUUUUGGAGAGGAGUCAGACAGACAGACAGACUCCUCUCUCCCCUCAGGUUGAGUUGGGUUGGGAUCCUAGAGGCCUUUUGGAGAGGAGUCAGACAGACAGACAGACAGACAGACUCCUCUCUCCCCUCAGGUUGAGUUGGGUUGGGAUCCUAGAGGCCUUUUGGAGAGGAGUCAGACAGACAGACAGACUCCUCUCUCCCCUCAGGUUGAGUUGGGUUGGGAUCCUAGAGGCCUUUUGGGGAGGAGUCAGACAGACAGACAGACAGACUCCUCUCUCCCCUCAGGUUGAGUUGGGUUGGGAUCCUAGAGGCCUUUUGGGGAGGAGUCAGUCAGACAGACAGACAGACAGACAGACAGACAGACAGACAGACUCCUCUCUCCCCUCAGGUUGAGUUGGGUUGGGAUCCUAGAGGCCUUUUGGAGAGGAGUCAGACAGACAGACAGACUCCUCUCUCCCCUCAGGUUGAGUUGGGUUGGGAUCCUAGAGGCCUUUUGGAGAGGAGUCAGACAGACAGACAGACUCC